CCUACGGGAGGCAGCAGUGAGGAAUAUUGGUCAAUGGGCGCGAGCCUGAACCAGCCAAGUAGCGUGAAGGAUGACUGCCCUACGGGUUGUAAACUUCUUUUAUAAAGGAAUAAAGUGAGGCACGUGUGCCUUUUUGUAUGUACUUUAUGAAUAAGGAUCGGCUAACUCCGUGCCAGCAGCCGCGGUAAUACGGAGGAUGCGAGCGUUAUCCGGAUUUAUUGGGUUUAAAGGGUGCGCAGGCGGAGGUGCAAGUCAGCGGUCAAAUUGCGGGGCUCAACCCCGUACUGCCGUUGAAACUGCAUCCCUUGAGUGCGCGAGAAGUAUGCGGAAUGCGUGGUGUAGCGGUGAAAUGCAUAGAUAUCACGCAGAACUCCGAUUGCGAAGGCAGCAUACCGGCGCGCAACUGACGCUCAUGCACGAAAGCGUGGGUAUCGAACAGGAUUAGAUACCCGAGUAGUC
rnacentral:rRNA from 1 species